UACGAAGGGGGCUAGCGUUGCUCGGAAUCACUGGGCGUAAAGCGCACGUAGGCGGAUCCUUAAGUCGGGGGUGAAAUCCUGGAGCUCAACUCCAGAACUGCCUUCGAUACUGAGGAUCUCGAGUCCGGGAGAGGUGAGUGGAACUGCGAGUGUAGAGGUGAAAUUCGUAGAUAUUCGCAAGAACACCAGUGGCGAAGGCGGCUCACUGGCCCGGUACUGACGCUGAGGUGCGAAAGCGUGGGGAGCAACAGGG
rnacentral:rRNA from 1 species